UACGUAGGGGGCAAGCGUUAUCCGGAAUUAUUGGGCGUAAAGCGCGCGCAGGCGGUCGGUUAAGUCAGGUGUGAAAGGCUGCGGCUCAACCGCAGAGCGGCAUCUGAAACUGGCCGGCUUGAGUGCAGGAGAGGGGAGCGGAAUUCCCGGUGUAGCGGUGGAAUGCGUAGAGAUCGGGAAGAACACCAGUGGCGAAAGCGGCUCUCUGGCCUGCAACUGACGCUGAGGCGCGAAAGCGUGGGGAGCAAACAGG
rnacentral:rRNA from 1 species